CAGUCGCCGCGGUAAUACGAAGGUCCCAAGCGUUGUUCGGAAUCACUGGGCGUAAAGGGAGCGUAGGCGGCGUGGUAAGUCAGAUGUGAAAUCCCGGGGCUCAACCCCGGAACUGCAUCCGAUACUGCCAUGCUUGAGGGUUGGAGAGGUGACUGGAAUUCUCGGUGUAGCAGUGAAAUGCGUGGAUAUCGAGAGGAACACUCGUGGCGAAGGCGAGUCACUGGACAACAUCUGACGCUGAGGCUCGAAGGCUAGGGUAGCGAAAGGGAUUAGAUACCCGAGUAGUCCCUGUCUCUUAUAC
rnacentral:rRNA from 1 species